rnacentral:tRNA from 1 species
UGCAUCGGCCGGGAACCGAACCCCGGCCCGCCCGCGUGGCAGGCGAGCAUUCUACCACUGAACCACCGAUGG